UUGCUGCAGCCGCUGCCAGUCUUCCUUCAGGGAGCGGAUGGUGUGCCACACCUGGCCGCAUGUCCUCCUCAGCUGGCUGUACGGAAGAGAGUGUCUGGGAUCUUUUUCUGCGACAGAGACAAGGAGCAGGAGGGUGGGAUGAUUGUUGGAGUGAAAUUCCUCUCUGCAAAGACCAGACCAUGACUUCCUGCCAAGCUUAGGGAGUAUUUUUCCAACAGCGUCCCCCAUGAGCUUCACGUCAUUCAUUACACUGGUGAAACAACAAGGGGCACUGAUGCUGGCACCACCCACAUAUCCUGCAAUUCAUUGGAAACUCCUGUUUUUCUUACAUUCAGUCCAGACGUCAUGCAAUAAUAUUUAUCUUAAAUAAAGCCAAUAAUUGUCUAGCUUCAGAAAAUAUUGCUAAAUUGUCUUACGUUAUUACUGCUGAUAGAACGUGAGAUAAGGAAGAAGAAAGGUAGAAGUCUUCAUCACUGUUCUGUGUUUUGACAUCUAACAGUAAAAAUGAUCCACAAUGAGUCACUGCAGAUUGCACGAUUUCAUCUGUAUUAAAAUAAAUGUACUUUAUUGAUGCCA